rnacentral:rRNA from 1 species
GAUGAACGCUGGCGGCGUGCCUAAUACAUGCAAGUCGAGCGAACGGACGAGAAGCUUGCUCCUCUGAUGUUAGCGGCGGACGGGUGAGUAACACGUGGAUAACCUACCUAUAAGACUGGGAUAACUUCGGGAAACCGGAGCUAAUACCGGAUGAUAUUUUGAACCGCAUGGUUCAAUAGUGAAAGACGGUUUUGCUGUCACUUAUAGAUGGAUCCGCGCGUCAUUAGCUAGUUGGUAAGGUAACGGCUUACCAAGGCAACGAUGCAUAGCCGACCUGAGAGGGGGACGGGCCACCCUGGAACUGAGACCCGGUCCAGACUCCUACGGGAGGCAGCAGUAGGGAAUCUUCCGCAAUGGGCGAAAGCCUGACGGAGCAACGCCGCGUGAGUGAUGAAGGUCUUCGGAUCGUAAAACUCUGUUAUUAGGGAAGAACAAAUGUGUAAGUAACUGUGCACAUCUUGACGGUACCUAAUCAGAAAGCCACGGCUAACUACGUG